rnacentral:rRNA from 1 species
CACACUAUCAUUAACUGAAUCCAUAGGUUAAUGAGGCGAACCGGGGGAACUGAAACAUCUAAGUACCCCGAGGAAAAGAAAUCAACCGAGAUUCCCCCAGUAGCGGCGAGCGAACGGGGAGGAGCCCAGAGCCUGAAUCAGUGUGUGUGUUAGUGGAAGCGUCUGGAAAGGCGCGCGAUACAGGGUGACAGCCCCGUACACAAAAAUGCACAUAUUGUGAGCUCGAUGAGUAGGGCGGGACACGUGGUAUCCUGUCUGAAUAUGGGGGGACCAUCCUCCAAGGCUAAAUACUCCUGACUGACCGAUAGUGAACCAGUACCGUGAGGGAAAGGCGAAAAGAACCCCGGCGAGGGGAGUGAAAAAGAACCUGAAACCGUGUACGUACAAGCAGUGGGAGCCUCUUAAUGGGGUGACUGCGUACCUUUUGUAUAAUGGGUCAGCGACUUAUAUUCUGUAGCAAGGUUAACCGAAUAGGGGAGCCGAAGGGAAACCGAGUCUUAACUGGGCGUUAAGUUGCAGGGUAUAGACCCGAAACCCGGUGAUCUAGCCAUGGGCAGGUUGAAGGUUGGGUAACACUAACUGGAGGACCGAACCGACUAAUGUUGAAAAAUUAGCGGAUGACUUGUGGCUGGGGGUGAAAGGCCAAUCAAACCGGGAGAUAGCUGGUUCUCCCCGAAAGCUAUUUAGGUAGCGCCUCGUGAAUUCAUCUCCGGGGGUAGAGCACUGUUUCGGCAAGGGGGUCAUCCCGACUUACCAACCCGAUGCAAACUGCGAAUACCGGAGAAUGUUAUCACGGGAGACACACGGCGGGUGCUAACGUCCGUCGUGAAGAGGGAAACAACCCAGACCGCCAGCUAAGGUCCCAAAGUCAUGGUUAAGUGGGAAACGAUGUGGGAAGGCCCAGACAGCCAGGAUGUUGGCUUAGAAGCAGCCAUCAUUUAAAGAAAGCGUAAUAGCUCACUGGUCGAGUCGGCCUGCGCGGAAGAUGUAACGGGGCUAAACCAUGCACCGAAGCUGCGGCAGCGACACUAUGUGUUGUUGGGUAGGGGAGCGUUCUGUAAGCCUGUGAAGGUGUACUGUGAGGUAUGCUGGAGGUAUCAGAAGUGCGAAUGCUGACAUAAGUAACGAUAAAGCGGGUGAAAAGCCCGCUCGCCGGAAGACCAAGGGUUCCUGUCCAACGUUAAUCGGGGCAGGGUGAGUCGACCCCUAAGGCGAGGCCGAAAGGCGUAGUCGAUGGGAAACAGGUUAAUAUUCCUGUACUUGGUGUUACUGCGAAGGGGGGACGGAGAAGGCUAUGUUGGCCGGGCGACGGUUGUCCCGGUUUAAGCGUGUAGGCUGGUUUUCCAGGCAAAUCCGGAAAAUCAAGGCUGAGGCGUGAUGACGAGGCACUACGGUGCUGAAGCGACAAAUGCCCUGCUUCCAGGAAAAGCCUCUAAGCAUCAGGUAACAUCAAAUCGUACCCCAAACCGACACAGGUGGUCAGGUAGAGAAUACCAAGGCGCUUGAGAGAACUCGGGUGAAGGAACUAGGCAAAAUGGUGCCGUAACUUCGGGAGAAGGCACGCUGAUAUGUAGGUGAAGCGACUUGCUCGUGGAGCUGAAAUCAGUCGAAGAUACCAGCUGGCUGCAACUGUUUAUUAAAAACACAGCACUGUGCAAACACGAAAGUGGACGUAUACGGUGUGACGCCUGCCCGGUGCCGGAAGGUUAAUUGAUGGGGUUAGCGGUAACGCGAAGCUCUUGAUCGAAGCCCCGGUAAACGGCGGCCGUAACUAUAACGGUCCUAAGGUAGCGAAAUUCCUUGUCGGGUAAGUUCCGACCUGCACGAAUGGCGUAAUGAUGGCCAGGCUGUCUCCACCCGAGACUCAGUGAAAUUGAACUCGCUGUGAAGAUGCAGUGUACCCGCGGCAAGACGGAAAGACCCCGUGAACCUUUACUAUAGCUUGACACUGAACAUUGAGCCUUGAUGUGUAGGAUAGGUGGGAGGCUUUGAAGUGUGGACGCCAGUCUGCAUGGAGCCGACCUUGAAAUACCACCCUUUAAUGUUUGAUGUUCUAACGUGGGCCCCUUACCGGGGUUGCGGACAGUGUCUGGUGGGUAGUUUGACUGGGGCGGUCUCCUCCUAAAGAGUAACGGAGGAGCACGAAGGUUGGCUAAUCCUGGUCGGACAUCAGGAGGUUAGUGCAAUGGCAUAAGCCAGCUUGACUGCGAGCGUGACGGCGCGAGCAGGUGCGAAAGCAGGUCAUAGUGAUCCGGUGGUUCUGAAUGGAAGGGCCAUCGCUCAACGGAUAAAAGGUACUCCGGGGAUAACAGGCUGAUACCGCCCAAGAGUUCAUAUCGACGGCGGUGUUUGGCACCUCGAUGUCGGCUCAUCACAUCCUGGGGCUGAAGUAGGUCCCAAGGGUAUGGCUGUUCGCCAUUUAAAGUGGUACGCGAGCUGGGUUUAGAACGUCGUGAGACAGUUCGGUCCCUAUCUGCCGUGGGCGCUGGAGAACUGAGGGGGGCUGCUCCUAGUACGAGAGGACCGGAGUGGACGCAUCACUGGUGUUCGGGUUGUCAUGCCAAUGGCACUGCCCGGUAGCUAAAUGCGGAAGAGAUAAGUGCUGAAAGCAUCUAAGCACGAAACUUGCCCCGAGAUGAGUUCUCCCUGACUCCUUGAGAGUCCUGAAGGAACGUUGAAGACGACGACGUUGAUAGGCCGGGUGUGUAAGCGCAGCGAUGCGUUGAGCUAACCGGUACUAAUGAACCGUGAGGCUUAACCUUACAACGCCGAAG